CCUGCCUCUAGAGGCCUUGCAGGUGUGGCUGCCGUGUCACAUGUGCAACAGUACAUGGCAGAGAAGAGAGAGGUUAUGUCUAUGCUCAGUGAUCUGACAGAUGAACAUCUGAAUGAUUAGUAGCCUAGCAUU